GGCCAGAUAGCUCAGUCGGUAGAGCAGUGGACUGAAAAUCCACGUGUCGGCGGUUCGAUUCCACCUCUGGCCA
rnacentral:tRNA from 1 species